UGCAAACUGCCUUGAGCAUCGACUUCUUGAACGUAAAUUGCGGCAUUAGGCUCUGCUGAUGCCACGCCUAGCCGAGUGUCGGCA
rnacentral:rRNA from 1 species